ACUUAAAUUGAAGAGUUUGAUCAUGGCUCAGAUUGAACGCUGGCGGCAGGCCUAACACAUGCAAGUCGAACGGUAGCACAGAGAGCUUGCUCUCGGGUGACGAGUGGCGGACGGGUGAGUAAUGUCUGGGAAACUGCCCGAUGGAGGGGGAUAACUACUGGAAACGGUAGCUAAUACCGCAUAACGUCGCAAGACCAAAG
rnacentral:rRNA from 1 species